GGAAUUGCAGUAAUGGCAGGUCAGCAUACUGCCGUGAAUACGUUCCCGGGCCUUGUACACACCGCCCGUCACACCAUGAGAGUUGGAGAUACCCGAAGCCUAUGAGCUAACUUUUAGAGGCAGUAGUCGAAGGUAGAAUCAAUGAUUGGGGUGAAGUCGUAACAAGGUAAC
rnacentral:rRNA from 1 species